AUGGGAGCUGCCCAGCCUAGCACUGACCAUGUGACAUUUAUCCAUGCCUAAGCUGUCCUCUGUUCUGUGGCUUUCAUGUGUGGUUGAUGUAGUUGUUAGGCAUGAUCCAAUGUCAAAAGAGGUAGAAUGCUCUUCACACUGCGGAAUCUAGCAGGCUACUUUAGUGAUCUCAACACGAGUGGGCUGGGGGCCUAUUGUUUCUAAAUUAUCAAUGAAGACCCAGCUUUGAGUUCAGUUUAAAUAAUUUUCAAGCAGGAAUUCAAGGUAGAUUAAGCUAUUACAUGAUUGGUCCCCUGAAUCUAAUUAAGUCACAUAUUUUCAGGCAACUUAACUCUAAAUACACUUACUUAAAAGCCAUCAUUUAAUGUGAUGUAGGAACACAAUGGGAACAAAGAGAAGGGAUUUGAGUGGAGCAAGCAAAGUUUAAAAUAUCCUUGAUUGUAUCACUUUGUUCAAAUCAAAGACCUUGAAACAAGUUGGAAACAGGAUAUAUGUUCUUUUAACUAAGGGAAUCACAGCUAGGAAUAGUCUGCUUGAUCAGUGCAUGAUCAGCAGAAAGCAGCGGAGCAGUCAAGGCUCCCUGAAUGCCUGAAUGUAGCAGAGUGCUUAUAUGAAAAGCAGCAGGAGGUUAGGCAGAGGCCACAAUUUGAUUUUUCACUUGCUCUCACAUCUUUAAGUUUGUUGUGCUAACUGUGCCUUUACUAUUUUAUAAUCAUUCCCUUGCACCAUGAGGCCAUCAGGCUGUACUCCCAAUGCAAUGUCCAGAGAACACUCCAUGCAGGUGACUUACUUGAGGAGGUGCACAAUGUACUUUUCCCAUCUAUCUGGGACUGUAAUGGUCUAACUCCAUCAAAUAUGAGUCUUUCAGAAUUCACAUUGGUUUCCUCUUCAACAUCUCCCUCAUUCAUGUCACAUCAUUAUCAUGUGUGCCUCACAUAAUUAGCUUAGCUUUUCUAUAUUCUUUCAGUGCAUUUUUUAGCAUUGUUCAUAACUAGAUUCAACAGGUCCAAUGUCUUAUUACUUAUUCCUUCUGUGCCUGUGCCAGUUUUCAAAUUGAAAGAUUUUUGUUAUGCCCCUCGAAUCAUGUAGAAUGAUUCACUUUGAGGUUUUUUGGUUUCUUUACCAUCAGUGCCACACAGUUGAGUUUUGGGAGUGUUAUAAUUUCUGGGAAGAAUUCUGUUGGAUUGCCUACUUGUUUUUCUAUUUGUGUUUUUUGUUUGUUUUGUGUUGAGAAUAGUUAGUUUAUUACAGUGUAUUACUUAUUGUAGAGAUGUCUUUGGUUAAUUUCUGAUUUUCAGUGAUGUUCCUUGGAAGGGGUAAACCAGCAGCCAUUGCCUUGUGUCCCAAGAUUGAAUCACUUCUGUUUAAUUGAUAUGUAAGUUUGUAGCAUGCUGGGCCUGAUACACAUUUCUCCAUAAUGGGUCACAAUAUUAUUAAUAACACCAAGUUAAUGUAGAUAUUUGCAUGUCAAAGAAAGUCAAUUAAUAGCAAUACUUUGGUAUGGUAAUUAAAUCAGUAGCCACUGUGUCAUUAAAUGCAAAAUGAAUAGCAACCCUAAGGACCAAUAAAGUACUACACUUAUCAAUAGAAAACAUAUCUAUAUUUAUGGUAUGAAUGCCAAGACAAAAAAAAAUAUUGACCUGCUGUUAACUAAAGUAAAUAUCUACUAAAUGGAAUAUAUUUACCUCUAAAAUGUAGAACAUUAUUCAAAGGCAAUACUGUAAUGUAUAUUAGUCACAUAAAGAUUCAUAAAUUCAGUAGCUACACUAGUCAAAAUAGAGGUGUGUGAGAGCAGAGAAUGGAAAAAGGAAUUAACAGAUUAAUGAACAGGAUAUAAGAAAUAUUAGUAUUUGAAAGUGUAAAUAUAGGCAGGUGCUGGGGUUUUGAAAACCUGGUCAUGGCUUGAUUCACCCUCUAAUGGUACAGUGGAUUAGUAGGUUGUUGGUGAGGGGCUAUUUUCUUGGCCACUUAGUGUCUCACACAGGAUGCCACUGGUUUGGUUACACCCAAUGUGAAGUGCUCUUUUUAAAUCAGCAGAGGCUUGUGCCAAGCAUUUGGCUGACUAUAACAAAGGUUGACAAUUGAACCCUCAUCCUUCAACUUAUUGAACUUAUUCAAUCUGCUCCAUCCAUUCUUUUCCAGCCACCGAAAAUGGACUCAGAUACUUACCAAGUGCCAUGAGUUGGAGGACAUUUUCCUUAUAAAACUGAGAAGGUGAUGACCUAUACUUUUUUUGCCGUUCUUAGUGUGGACAAAAAAAUUGUGGGAAGGUAAAAUUAUUAUCAACCAACAUUUCUGCAUAAUUACAGCCACUUGUUCUCUAAUGAGUUUUGGAUGAAGAAAAGAUAUUAAUGAGUUAGAUCACUGUGUCACAGGAAAAAGAAUUUAGUUACACCUCUUUGGAAGGCUCUCAAAUGGUUUGGCCAAAAUAUAUACUCUUUCACAUAAAGAUAAUUUUCCUUCUACACCAGAUAAUCAUUCAGAGUGUUGGUUUAUACCUGGGAAGGAGCGGGAGUGAGAAGAAGCUACUUGGGCCAGUGUCAAGCUGUAGGUGAUGAUCACAUAAAGAAAAUAUUGAAGGUUUCAGUUUGUCUUCUGUCAGUCCAGCAUUCUGUGGCUUUUAUACUAAUUUCUGGAGAAACCUUUUUUGAAAGUGAUGUUCCAGCUGAUGCUACUGGUGGUCUCUACCUUGGCCCCACAUGCAUGGAACUGUUUCAUCCAUGUUAGUCAUAAUUCAUAUUGAUAUCUUCUCCAGACAUCUUCUAUCUACACAGGAAACGCUACCACUGCCAGAUUCAUGGCUGACAGAUCUGCUAGACUUGCUGAUGAAGAUUAAUGUGUCUUGUGGCCCACAGCCCCCAGUAAGUUGUCCUUUUCAGAGCUCUAAGUACCACUAGAUGUCUCAGGUAAGACAUUCUCUAUACUUGUGGACAUAGAGGCCAUGAAUAGUGUUCCUUAGUUUUCAGGUCACUAUAUUAAGUCCUCAAUCUCUACAGUGGGUCUUGAUGACCAGCCUAUGCAGUAUUUAUAGACAGGGCCUUAUUCAUGCAGGUCCCAGAUUCAUUUCUUCUCUGGUCAAUUCCAUAGUUUGACACACCUCCAAUCCCACCUGCAUUGCCCAUGCCAUGCCUUACCACUCAUAUAGUCAUAGUCAUAGAACUGAUAUAGUUAUUUUUGUCAUAGAUCUUAAAAAUGUCUUUUUUUAUUCCUUUGUGUUUAUGCAGACUGACCCAGAGGCUCUGAGGUAUCAACAGCUUACACUUCUUAUCUCUAAUAAAACCUCUCCUCAGGGACACAUAACACCCCCUUUGUUUCCUAUUCAUCAAUUUCUCAGAUACAACACUGGUCAAGACUCACAGAUUUUACACACAUGCCCUGCCACAAAACUCUCAAAUAUCUGUCACCUUUGUACUUUUUCAGGAUACAUAAAAGCCUUUCCUAUAACCCGGGAGACUGCUAAUAUACUUAUUAAAGUUCUGUUAUGGCAAAUCAUUCCAAGGGUACAACCAAGGAGGAGUGGCCCAUACAUGGUCUUCUUGGCAUCCUCAACAGUGGUCAGAGUUGCUAAACUGCCAUCCUGCUUCCACGUCACUCAAGUGGUACCCUCCCAGUCCUAAAUCUAACCAUCCUAUCAUCUCUGUUACACCAAAGCCUCACAGCCACAACUCUCAAGCUAUGACAUGUUUUGUAAUUCAGUUUGGUUCCUAAUUUCUUACAUUCUAUUAAUUAUCCUUUUUACAGCAGGACUCUUAACAGUCUUUCUUAAAGACUGCCAUGUCAUGGAUAAGAUCAUCUUCAUGUUGUUCUAUGUGACAACUGUCUUAGUUCUCUCUAUCCUCAGCUGUUUGGUCAAACAUAACACCCCUGAAGGCUUAGGAUUUUACCUUCCCUGUAGUGACAGAGCCAUGGCCAUCCUCACACCUCUUAUUCUUUACAGCUCAACUUGUGGACCAGAGACAAGUCCUACCUACCUACCCUCUUAACUUUUACCAUGUCAGAUAGGGGAAUAAUCACCUCUCAUAUCUAUACUCUUUUAACCCCACACUUAAGUUUUCAGAAUUCCACUUCACCAUGGUAAUGAUUCUACCUCACCAUGGUAAUGAUUAUGCAUAUUUAAAUCAAAGGCAUAUUUCCUUCUAACUCAACUGGGUCCUUAAGUAUGAUAGUGGCCUGCCUCAUCAUAGCACCUUAUCUCUUUGUUUUUCCAGUCUAACAUGCAGGCAUUAACCAAUGAUAAAGUUAUCCUGAUUGGAACACUGGCACCAGCUUCUGCAUGGGCAUCAACCAUCAUCCCAUCAACUGUCCUAAACCCAAACAUGGCACCCUUUUUCAGCAGGAAGUACUAAGAGAGAGAAAAACUUUGCCCUUUUCCUAACAAUAAAAAAAGAAUGAAAAGAUUUCACCCUAGAUAGGAUACUACAGCAUUGAGAGUUGGGACCAAGGGACAUUUACCUUCAGGUCAUUUUCUCCACCACUAGACAAUUUACCUGUGGUGCAAGAUGAAUUCCAAUGGGCUUCUAGGAUGUCAGCAAUGACCGUUUAGGCACCAGCCCAGACCAAAGCUAUAUGCAUGCCCCCAGACUACAUGUCUGCCAGAGAAUGCUAGGCCCCAGUGGUCAUGGAGUUUCUCACCACAUCCUUAAAAAUAAAUACCACUUUACUUCAUUUUCUGUCAUCUAAUUUCACCAAAAAUCCUAUCCUAUACUUGUGAAGGGAAGAUACAAGUUGGAGUCAGUGUCUCCUGAAAAUUUCUGGUCUCCUUUGCAGCCCUAACCUUCAGGAUGACCUUCCACUUAAGAGCUGCCACCAACAAGAGGAUCCUCCAUGCCAGGUCCAUGGUGAGGAACAUGGUGUAGAAGGAAGUGAUGGCUGUGGAAUCAUGUAGCCAUAGACAUAUCCAUAUUUACCUCAGGCAAAUGAAGCAUUGCAUAUUUACUUCAGGAAAAUUGAGUUAUUUGCAUAUUAACAUGGCAGAAAUUUCUUAGCUCUUCACUCAACCCUAAUCAAACCAGAGGACAAAGUAGUUUUCCAUAGGCUAUGCAGCAGUGUGCUGUGAGGAUCCAUGUGCUUAUCCUGUCUGAGCAAAUGAACAUCCUGCCACUUCUGUAAGUCCUGUGCAUACAGCCCUCACUUCUCUAAGAAUCAAAGCACACAGAAAGGCUCUGCACUCUGAAUCCUCCUCUGAAUUAAAUAUAUACCACCUGAACUUCUUCUUGGGCAUGAAUUUUUAAUAAGACAGGUCUCAGAUCCUAAGGAAACAGCUCCAGGUUUCACAACUGCUCCCAAACUGUAGAAGUGUAUGGAAGAUUCUAGUAAUCCAGCUUCUCCUGAACCACAGGUUAGUCCCUGUCUGGGUCACAAAAAUUUAUAUACACUGCCUCCAGCCCACAGGAAAGAGUUGAACCAGUUGCAGUGUAUCUUUCAGUGAGGGCAAACAUGAUUUGUAUCUAAGGCAGGCUUCACUCCAUCUGCAAAUGUCCCAAAACCAAUCAUCAUGGUCUAUAUAACACCUUGGUGAAGAAGGUAUGGCCUGCAGAGUGUCAGCCCACCCAGCACAUGUAUUAGUGCAUGGCUCUAUACCCUACCUGUGGCACAUUCUACUGGACUCAUCUUGUUGGACUUCUUGCUCAGUUUAUUGGGCAAGGCACACUAGAAUGAUGACUCUGCACUAGAUCUUAAGGGACCGAAUUAGAUUUACCUAGGAUCUAUACCAUGAUCAAAGGUGCUUUAGGCUAAUUAGUGUGGCCUGGGCCUAGAAUUCCCAGUGGAGCCACAUGUGUGUACCUGUCCCAGACCAACUGAUAGGUGAGACCCAGAGCAGGACACAUUCAUCAUGUUAAUAAUCAUGGCUCCAAAAUAGAGCAGCCUGGCUGGACCAUAGAAUGGUCCAGAGCUUGUCUGGCCCAGAAAGGACUGCAUUCAACCUGAGGAGGACUAGAGUGACUUUAGCAAACUUGGAUCAGGAAUCCAAACUGAGAACUUCACAAUGUGGCCUUCAGGGUAUCCCAAAGUGCUAAAAACUGUGUUUACCUCAAACCCUCAUUAUGUCCUGAGUUCCCUCCCAGCAACUGCCUAAGCCGUGGUAUCAGGACCUCAUGUUUCAGUCACCACUAGUCAUAUGAGCCCAAGGUUGCAGUUGAAGAGAGCUAUGGAAGGACACAUGUUUCUUGGUGUCUCCUGAACCUGAUCUGCAUAAUGCAGACACUAGAGAAAACACACGAGGAGGUAGCAUCAUUGCCCACUGAUCCUGUGAGUUACUGCCAGGGAAACAUCUGGGUCAGAAGCUCCCUGGUUAUCUGCUUAAUCUCCAUUAGGGACACCCAACUUCUACAGGACACCCUGUCAAAUGGAGUGUCAUGGUGCUAUUCUGUUGGUUUCAGGAUGCUUGUUUCUUCCCCUUGUGUCCUCAGAUCCCUUAGCAGACAUGGAUACAGAGUCUGAAUUCUCAGGCAGGAAUUUCCGUUUUGUGAUCCUUGGCCUGUGAAUCUAGGUGCAAAUGCAGAGAAACGCCUGGAUGUUCCACAAAUCCCAAAACAAAAAGAACAAACCUUGAAUAAGACACGAAGAGGAGAAGAAAAAACGAACCUGAGUCUCUGAAGGAUGUGAGCAGAGUGUAGCAGUUAUUUGUGAGUGAGGCUGGACAGGGCUAUCUUGCCCUCUCCUGUCUUAUCUGCAGUCUGGUCCUUGGCUUCUACAAAUUUUUGCUCAAAUUAACAGAGGACCUGUAGCCUCUUCAUCUUUCAGCCACUCUCAUCACACUGUUUAAGUGAGCAAAUGAAAUUCACUCUUACUUUAGAGCAAAAAAUCACCAUGAGAAUAGAGAAUAGAGUAUAGAGGUAUGCUUGAUAAUUUAAGGAAAGUUUUGUAAUAAAAUAUGACUGAUACAUACAGAAUCAACAGACUUAAAAUAAGUAAUAUCAAUAUGAAAUUUUGAGCCUCUGAUAAAGAAACAGUGUAUGUUAUGAAAAUGUAAAUUUCAUCAUAAAUAUUCUCUAUUAUUUUACUGAUUCAUAGAUUGAAAUCUAUGGGAGAAAAUGGUAUGGGGAGGAGAGAUAUAGAGAGACAGAUGAGACAGUGACUGAGAAAGAGACACAAAGAGAUUGUAUCUCAUUGCUGUUACAAAACACAAAACACACAGAUGUUUAAGGAGGACAAUUUUAUUUAAAUAACAGUUUAUAGAUAUUCCAGUGCAUAGUUCUUUGGUUCCAUGUCAUGACUACAUGACAGAGGAGUCUGGAACAUGGUAAAUAUUUCAUGGAAUGACAGGCAUAAACAACCUACCUUAACUUUCAACUAGCCAUUUGUAUUCUAUCUAGGCUUCAAGUCCAUUUGUUGGUGCUACUCAGAUUCAAGGUGGGCCUGCCAUUAUUCACACUCAGAACUGUGACAAAUCCAUUUAGCACAUGACUUUAACCCAUAUUCUCUCACUUUUGGCUACCCAAAGCCAUAUAUCCCCACAUAAGUAAGCAUACUUACGUGGUAUUUGGGGUCAUCUAGAUCCAAGUCAUAGCAUUUCAUCCAUGGUCCCCAAAGCAUUCAUGUGCAAAACAAUUUAAAUGCAUUUAGUCCACCUAUAAGAGUUGGCAAAAUCUUAAUAUUUUCAGCAAUGUUGACUUCUUAAAUCCAAAUUUUCCACCGAAGUAUAAGCAGUGAACCAUUUUAAGAACACCUUUAACACACAAUAGCUCAAGGUAAAUGUUCCAAAAAGAUACAGAGAGAAAAAAGAAAAGAAUGGAACUUAAUCAACUCUAAUACCCAGAAGGAAAAUCUUUUAAAUUCCAUAGUUACACAUCCAGGUUGUGUUACAAUCUGUAGCAAGUUGUGAACUCUCAGGGGCUUGAAUUCUGUGAAACUACAGAAAUGAGAGUGAAUGUACAUUCCAUGUCUUCCAUGUUGAGACACGUUUGCUCUGUCUGUGUAGCUUCUAGGGAAAAAUAUUUCUGGCUUCUCCAAGAACAUUCUUGGUUCUUCACUGGGAUUGAGCUUCCUGUACAGUUUCAAACACUGUCUGCUCAGAAUUACACUUCCUGCUAUCCAAAGCCUUCUUCUGAAAUCUGGUUGAGAGCCUUCCUGACUUCAAAACUCUUGAAUUCUGCAUGUGCCAAAAUUCAAUACAAGUUGGAAGAUGCCAAGUAAACCACCAAGUGGAAUAAUGGUCAAUUUCUCUUUUUUUGUUUGUAGGGGACAAAUGUCUCGAUUUCUAACAGCUAUGAGAUCAGUCUGAGGAACAAUUUUGCUGGGCCACCAUCCUAAAAGAACAUGAUGAACUGUAACUGUCUUCUCAAAGUAAAGGUUCUGAAGUUGAAAUGCAUUUGGUACAGCCUGGGGCUAAUCUGAGAAAGCCCUGGGCCUCAGUGAAGGUCUCCUGUAAGGUGUCAGGCUACACCUUCACAGACUGCCUCAUACAGUGGGUGCUACAGAGACCAGGGUAAGAUCCUGGAGUGUAUGGGAUGGAUUCAUCCAGAGGAUGGAGAAACUGGAUAAGCUCAGAAGUUUCAGGGCACUGGCAUGCUCAUCUCAGUCAUGUCCUCCAGCACAGCCUACAUGGAGCUGAGCAGCCUGAGAGUCAAGGACAAGGCCAUGUAUUGCUGGGCAAGAAACAGUGUGGGGACAUCAGGCCAGAAUAAACUUCCCUGCAGGGAAACUCAGAACAGCAGGGGACGCAUGAGAGCAGCCGCUAUACUCUUUACCACUUGUAUUCUACCCACACCCUGUCUUUAGCUACCAUGUCAGUAAGCCAGAGCCUGGGCAUAAUCCAGAAGGAAAGAGCUGCCUGACACGCUCAUGACCUUUCAGGAAAUUUCCACCAGAACAGUCUUCUAGUUCAGAUUUUGUUCAUUUCCAUCCAUUUCCAAAAAUGGCAGGUGCCAUUUACAAUGGUAUUUUCAAGAUAUUGAAUGCAAAUUCGAAAAAGUGAACAAAUAUGAAUUCAGUUUAAGUUCACUUAUUUAAACAGGCACCAAUACACAGAAACAUUAACAAAUACAUAGAGAUGUUUCAUAUCCCACACCAAUUUUCUCUACUAUUGGCAACUCAUAUUGGUAGGCUCCUCUUCCUUCACAUAAAUCACCAAUCAUGACAUUUAAUUAAGUCACAAUUUUUAAAUCUUUUUUAUUUUAAAGAGUUUAAGACAAAAGAGGAUGUAACAAAGCAGAUCAGAACAAUGUAAGCAACACUGUAUUUCACCAUAACUCACAAUUAACAGUAACUACCAUAAUGUAACUCACAAUUUUUAACUGAGUCUCUUUUUAAUUCAAAAAAAUGUUAUUUUGUUUUGUCCACUAAAAGUUUAUUUCAAUCAGAUUGUAAAGGUUUAAUGUAGAUUAUGUCAAAAGACUAAUUUAAUUCUACACUUUAAAAUAAUAAGUGUAUUUACUUAGAAUUGAAUGUUCUACCAUACUCCAUAGCUUUUGUUUAUUUUUAUUAGCAUGUACCUUGUAUACAGUAUAUAUAUUGUGGAUAUAUGUGCAUAUUGUGGAUAUACAGUACUCAUAUUGUGGAUGGAGAAUUGGCUGAUCAUGCUCAUGUAUAUUCAAGUCAUUGUUUUGGAGUACAUACAUUUGUGCAUAACUACUUUGAGGGAAGCAAUUGAAAAUUAGAGCACAAGUUUCUGAACAGAACUUUGAAAAACUACUACAAAUCACUGAUAGAGUUAUUUCCAAAAGAUGAAAAAUAUUAACAAAAGAUGAGAAAUAUAAAAUAAAAAGCGGCCUUUAUUCUGAGAACACGGAGAGAGAUGACCGGCACCCCACCGCUGGCGUCCGGCGAUCUCUCCGGCGGACACGCGGCGUGGGGGCCUGUAAAUAGCCUCGGUUUGGGGUGGAACCUAAGGCGGGCAUUGGGGAUACACAGGUAGCCCAUUGGUCCUAGGUUUGGCGCCAUAUGUAAAUUCCCAGGGGCGGGAAGAUGGCGUCACAGGUAACUUCCUAGGGGCAGGGCAAGAUGGGGCUUCCUGCUUCCGGUUGUGGCUUUCCUGGCUACAGUGUCCUGUCUGGGCCAAACCUUUCAUAUCCCGUCUUAUGGUUAUUAUUAUGAAAAGGGGCGAAGAUUUCUCUCUUUAACUACUUCCUGCUGGCA